UGGACCGCAAAGAUCGAGAGCACUUAUUAAAUGAAAGAGUUAUUCUUUUGAAGAAGGCAGCACAAGAAAAGGCUCAAGCUGAACGUGCAGCAGCUGUUGCUAGUUUCAAGUCAAUGCUUCGAGACAAAGGCGAUCUAACUUUCAAUUCCCGUUGGUCCAAGGUGAAGGAAAGCCUAAGGAAUGAUCCAAGGUACAAAUCAGUAAAGCAUGAAGAUAGGGAAGUUUUAUUCAAUGAGUACAUAUCUGAGCUAAAAGCUGCAGAAGAUGAAGAAGAACGGGAGGCAAAAGUUAGAAGGGAAGAGCAGGAUAAGUUAAAGGAGAGGGAACGGGAGUUGCGCAAGCGGAAGGAAAGAGAAGAACAAGAAAUGGAAAGGGUGCGAGUAAAAGUUAGGAGGAAGGAGGCAGUUGCAUCUUUUCAAGCUUUACUUGUGGAAUCAAUUAAGGAUCCUCAGGCUUCUUGGACAGAGUCAAAGUCCAAAUUGGAGAAGGAUCCUCAAGGACGUGCAACUAACCCUGAUUUAGAUCCGUCUGAUACUGAGAGACUCUUCCGAGAACACUUAAAGAUGUUGUAUGAGCGCUGUGCACAUGAUUUUAAAUCACUGUUAGCUGAAGUCAUAAAUACUGAAGCAGCUGCCCAGAAGACAGAAAAUGGAAAAACAGUUCUUGAUUCAUGGUCAACAGCUAAACGUCUUCUAAAGUCUGAUCCCAGGUAUAACAAGAUGCCUAGAAAAGAGCGGGAAAUCUUGUGGCGACGAUAUGCAGAUGACAUGUUGCGGAAGCAAAAGACAACACUUGAUCAAAAGGAAGACAAACAUGCAGAGUUAAAGAGUAGAAGUACUACUGAUUCAGGAAGAUAUCUGUCAGGAUCAAGGCGAACACAUGAUGGAAGAUAGAUCGUCAUUUUUGGUUAGAAAGUAGGCUCUUCUACUCAUGUAUCGAGGGGUUAGUUUCUGAUUCACUGUAUCAAGUAAGCUGAAUAGCUGAUUAUUAUUAUCAUUACUAUUUUUAUCUGCUUCUUUUUUCAUUGAAAUUUGUUAU
rnacentral:misc_RNA from 1 species